rnacentral:misc_RNA from 1 species
AACUCUCAAUCCUACACCCCUAUGUUAAUAGGGGUGCUGGGGCUUGGAUCAUGAGUGUCUGCUGGACCUGUGUAUCAGCUCGCUCUAAAUGUAUUAGCGGUCUAGUUAUCUCUCCAUUGCUUGGACCUGGCGUGAUAGAAUCAUUCGCUGGGGCUACCUCUGAAAGGAGGGGGCAAGGUGGGCUGGGCAGCUUACAACUGUUUUUAGU